GCUAGGAUCACAGGCGUGAGCCACCACGCCUGGCCUGCAGGAGGAUCUCUUGAGCCCAGGAUUUCUGGACUGUGGUGUACUAUACCAAUCUGGUGUCCCCACUAAAUUCAACAUCAAUAUGCUGACCUCAGAGGAUCAGGGGACCACCUCAUUUCCUAAGGAGGGGUGAACCAGCCAAGAUUAAAAAUGGAGCAGGUCAAAAUUCUGAUGCUGAUCAGUAGUUUGAUUGUGCCUGUAAUUUGCCACGGCACCCCAGCCUGGGCAACAUAGCAAGACUUUUUUCUCU
rnacentral:SRP_RNA from 1 species